UAUUGCUUCAGCAAUACAAAUACUAAAAUUGGAACGAUACAGAGAAGAUUAGCAUGGCCCCUGCACAAGGAUGACACGCAAAUUCGUGAAGUGUUCCAUAUUUAU
rnacentral:snRNA from 1 species